UACGGGGGGGGCAAGCGUUGUUCGGAAUUACUGGGCGUAAAGGGCUCGUAGGCGGCCAACUAAGUCCGACGUGAAAUCCCCAGGCUUAACCUGGGAACUGCGUCGGAUACUGGAUGGCUUGAAUUCGGGAGAGGGAUGCAGAAUUCCAGGUGUAGCGGUGAAAUGCGUAGAUAUCAGGAGGAACACCUGCGGCGAAGGCGGGUUGCUGGGCUGAUACUGACGCUGAGGCGCGAAAGCCAGGGGAGCGAACGGG
rnacentral:rRNA from 1 species